rnacentral:rRNA from 1 species
UACGGAGGGUGCGAGCGUUGUCCGGAAUCACUGGGCGUAAAGGGCGCGUAGGCGGUCUGUUAAGCGUGUGGUGAAAGCUCGGGGCUCAACCCCGAGUCUGCCAUGCGAACUGGUGGACUUGAGCACUGUAGAGGCAGGUGGAAUUCCGGGUGUAGCGGUGGAAUGCGUAGAGAUCCGGAAGAGCACCGGUGGCGAAGGCGGCCUGCUGGGCAGUUGCUGACGCUGAGGCGCGACAGCGUGGGGAGCAAACAGG